UACGUAGGGUGCAAGCGUUAAUCGGAAUUACUGGGCGUAAAGCGUGCGCAGGCGGCUUUGUAAGCCAGGUGUGAAAUCCCCGGGCUCAACCUGGGAAUGGCAUUUGGGACUGCAAGGCUGGAGUGUGGCAGAGGAGACUGGAAUUCCUGGUGUAGCAGUGAAAUGCGUAGAUAUCAGGAGGAAUACCGAUGGCGAAGGCAGGUCUCUGGGCUGACACUGACGCUCAUGCACGAAAGCGUGGGGAGCAAACAGG
rnacentral:rRNA from 1 species